rnacentral:tRNA from 1 species
CAAACCGGGUUGCCCUGAUGCCGACCAGCUAGCCCUCAUAACUAACACCAACAAACAACUAUUUAUACCCCCUAAU